GACUUGAUUAGAUUGAGCCUUGGUACGGAAACCUGCUAAGUGGUAACUUCCAAAUUCAGAGAAACCCUGGAAUUAAAAAUGGGCAAUCCUGAGCCAAAUCUUUAUGUUAAGAAAACAAAGGAUAGGUGCAGAGACUCAAUGGAAGCUGUUCUAACAAAUGGAAUUGACGUUGACUACGUUGCGUUGGUAGCUGGAAUCCCUCUAUCGAAAUUACCUAAAGGAUGCCCCUAUAUACGUAUAGAUACAUACUGACAUAUCAAACGAUUAAUCACAACUCGAAUAUGGAAUCCAUACUAUUAAAUAUAACUCUAAUAUAUAGAAUAUGAUAGUUAUAGAAUAUUAUAGUUAUAUUUAUAACUAUUUAAAAAGAUAUAUUUAGAGAUUAAUUAAGAGUUAUUCUAAAUAUAUUCCAGUCGAAGUUGAAGGAAGAAUCGAAUAUUCAGUGAUCAAAUCAUUCAUUCCGGAGUCGGAUAAAUCUUUUGAAAAAAUGAUUAAUCCGACGAGAAUAAAGAGAGAGUCCUGUUCUACGUGUCAAUACCGACAGGAAUGAAAUUUAUAGUAUUAGGAAAAUCCGUCGACUUUAUAAAUCGUGA
rnacentral:ncRNA from 1 species